AUUUUCAGCUCGGACUAGUAAAUUUUAUAUAUCGCUAGCCCGACCGGACUAGUAAGAAAUAUAAUGUCCUUUCUAUGUUAUUUGAAAUUUGAAUAUAUUGACAAGUAAUGCAGAAAAGAUCGUCAAAUCAAUGUGUUGCGAAGUCUAAACUAUCGAGAUCGACAAUUGUACACGAUAAUUGUACAUUUCCCGAGGAAGUGAAACAGAAACGAAAACCAGUCGCAAUAGUUCCGGUAACUCGAUCUGUCUUAUAACCAGUAGAAAGUGGACCAACACGGACACAUUAAAUUUUUUAAUAAUGACGGCAAUUGUUUAUAAAACGAAAAGACUAACAAGUUUUCCCCAUUAAUAUAUAUCUUUAAUGUUAUAAAAAUGUUUUAGUUUACUUCACAUCACCAAUAAAGUUAUUAAAAUAGAUUUAUGUCAUUAUGAGUUAUCUUAACAACAUCGUGUUGGUACACUUCGAUUUUUUGGUAAUUAGAAAGACCGGAGAACGUAAAAAUUCUUCAUGUACCGACAGGCAAAGCCAGGAAAGGCUAUAAAACGAAAGAGAUCAAAUCAUGACGUUUCUGAAAAAAACAAAAAAAUCUGAGGUAACCAGGACCAGAGGGUUUCGGAUCUCCUGUAUUUGGAAGAAUGACCGUCAUACUUAAUAAAUAAACUCAUACUACAACAACCUGUUGAUGGAUAAGUUGAGAUAUAUUGAUGAUAAAAGUAAAUUAAAUUUGUAUAAAGGACUUGAUCCAAAUCUAUUGAUCAAACCUUACCUCUCUAACUCAAACUUUAAAUUUAGAAAAUUUUACAAAACUUAUAAUCAGUGACCAUUCAUUAUUAAUUGAAAAAGGAAGGCAUUUUCAAAUUCCUCACUUUGCAAAAAAUUCAAAGUACUAGAUGAUGAAAAACAUUUAUUAAUAAUUUAAAUUAUUCUCACAAUUCAAAUAUUAGAUUAACAUAUUUUAAUUGCAUUAACAGAGCAAAGACAAUAACAAAACCAAUGGGAUGUCUAAAUUAAAACUGAAGCAAUUAUUAGAAGACUAUGAGGAAUAAAAAAAAACUAUAAAUUACUUGGAAACUCUGACUUGUUUUUGUUAUGAACUUAUCAUGACUAAAAAUAA
rnacentral:lncRNA from 1 species